CUCCUCGGUUAGCUUCACAAAGAGCUGACUGGUAUUGUGUUGCUAUGAGGCAUCUGAAAGUGUGAGGAAACAAAAACAGACUAAAAGCAAGAACUAUUUUAAUUUGUUCGUGUCUGUAAUAGCAUGGCUGUUGUGGGUGAAGCUUGUAGUUAGCUUAACCGCAUCCCUGCAUGUGCGCGCGCUCCUCGGUUAGAAAAGUUUAAUCAUCGUCCUAUUAUUAGCUCGCGUGCUUGUGCGCAGCCUCAGUGAGCUGCAGAAGGACCGCCGCAAUGAGGCCGAGAAAAAGGUCACUGAGAGAUAUGCGCGAGCUGGAAGGUUUGGUGCAGAAACAAGCUCGGAUUGAUGAAUCUGGCUGGACGGGAGCGAAUGAGCGCACCUUCCUAGCUGUGAAACCAGAUGGUGUGCAGCGGAAACUGGUGGGAGAAAUCGUGCGUCGUUUUGAGAAGAGAGGUUUCAAACUUGUGGGCCUGAAACUUGUGAAGGCAUCUGAAGAUGUUCUUAGGGAACACUACUGGGACCUGAGGAAUAAGCCGUUCUUCAGCAGACUGAUAAGCUACAUGAGUUCUGGACCGGUUGUUGCAAUGGUGUGGCAGGGUUUGGACGUGGUCAAAACGGCUCGCAAGAUGCUAGGAGAAACCAAUCCUGCUGACUCGCUGCCAGGAACCAUUCGAGGAGACUUCUGUGUGGAAGUGGGAAAGAACGUGAUCCAUGGCAGCGACUCGAUGGAGAGCGCGAUGAAGGAAAUUUCUCUGUGGUUUGGUCAGAACGAGCUCCAUCGCUGGGAGAGCUGCAGCACCAGUUGGAUCUACUGACAGCAGCUUAAUCCCGUCCCACAUGAACACCUGCAGACCUGAACACCAAAUAGAUCCUCCUCAGACAUGCUUUGUUUUGGCUUUAGCAGGAAAUUAAUCAGAGAAGGAAGAACUGAAAGAUGAAAAUUCAAAAAUAAAACAGUCUCAAGAGAUUGGACGGUUUGGCCGGGGGAGACGAGGGGAGGUCCCACUUACCCCUCAAACCCAGGAGCUGUCCCCGAUGAAGGACCACCGCUUUAGGAGAAGGAAGACGAGGAGGAGGUGGAGAAAGAGGACAGUGACAGUAAUAAUUAGGAUUGGGAGAACAAGCUGCUACUACUGAACAAAGGAAGGAAACAGAAAGUGGGAAAAGCUGAGGGGAGCUGAAGAGGUCUCCGUGUGGACACUGGACACGCUGAUGUUUUUUAUGGAUGUCCGAAGACUCAACUUAAACCAAUCAGAAAAUGUAAUAUUAUAAUAUAUUAAUUAAUAUUAUUAGCUAUGUGUAUGGAAGUCAUAGUUUAUAAUUUAAUAACAGAAUACCAGGUAAUUUUAAUACAGUGAAAAAUAAACACAAACAAUCAUACUCUCAUGGAUUCUGUUUCAUAAAAAUAUAUGAAUAUGCUUUUUAUCAGCUUUUGUUUGUAUUUCAAUAAAGUUCUCGUCACGGGUUUA